rnacentral:miRNA from 1 species
ACUUAGGGGGCAGUUUUGUAG